GACGAACGCUGGCGGCGUGCUUAACACAUGCAAGUCGAACGGUGAAGCGCCUUCCUUUUUGGUGGGCGUGGAUGAGUGGCGAACGGGUGAGUAACACGAGAGUAACCUGCCCCCUCCUUCUGGAUAACCGCAUGAAAGUGUGGCUAAUACGGGAUAUUAUGUGCCUGUCGCAUGAUGGGUCUGGGGAAGAUUUUGUUUCGGUGGGGGAUGGGCUCGCGGCCUAUCAGCUUGGUGGUGGGGUGAUGGCCUACCACGGCGGUGAGGAGUUGCCGGCCUGAGAGGGUGGGCGGUCACACAGGGGAUGAACGGCGGCGCAUACUCCUGCGGGAAGCAGCGGUGAGGAAUGGAGCACAGUGGGCGCAAGGCUGAUGCAGCGACGCCGCGGUGGAGAAGGAGUCCUUCUGGUUGUGAACCUCUUUCGCGAGUGAAGCAGGCCUGCCUCGUGUGUGGGUGGGUUGACGGUAGCUGGAGAAGAAGCGCCGGCUAACUACGUG
rnacentral:rRNA from 1 species